UUAAGCGACUAAGCGUACACGGUGGAUGCCCUGGCAGUCAGAGGCGAUGAAGGACGUGCUAAUCUGCGAAAAGCGUCGGUAAGGUGAUAUGAACCGUUAUAGCCGGCGAUGUCCGAAUGGGGAAACCCAGUGCAAUUCGUUGCACUAUCGUUAACUGAAUACAUAGGUUAACGAGGCGAACCGGGGGAACUGAAACAUCUAAGUACCCCGAGGAAAAGAAAUCAACCGAGAUUCCCCCAGUAGCGGCGAGCGAACGGGGAGCAGCCCAGAGUCUGAAUCAGCUUGUGUGUUAGUGGAACGGUCUGGAAAGUCCGACGGUACAGGGUGAUAGUCCCGUACACCAAAAUGCACAGGCUGUGAACUCGAAGAGUAGGGCGGGACACGUGGUAUCCUGUCUGAAUAUGGGGGGACCAUCCUCCAAGGCUAAAUACUCCUGACUGACCGAUAGUGAACCAGUACCGUGAGGGAAAGGCGAAAAGAACCCCGGCGAGGGGAGUGAAAAAGAACCUGAAACCGUGUACGUACAAGCAGUGGGAGCACCUUCGGGUGUGACUGCGUACCUUUUGUAUAAUGGGUCAGCGACUUAUAUUCUGUAGCAAGGUUAACCGUAUAGGGGAGCCGCAGGGAAACCGAGUCUUAACUGGGCGUUAAGUUGCAGGGUAUAGACCCGAAACCCGGUGAUCUAGCCAUGGGCAGGUUGAAGGUUGGGUAACACUAACUGGAGGACCGAACCGACUAAUGUUGAAAAAUUAGCGGAUGACUUGUGGCUGGGGGUGAAAGGCCAAUCAAACCGGGAGAUAGCUGGUUCUCCCCGAAAGCUAUUUAGGUAGCGCCUCGUGAAUUCAUCUUCGGGGGUAGAGCACUGUUUCGGCUAGGGGGUCAUCCCGACUUACCAACCCGAUGCAAACUACGAAUACCGAAGAAUGUUAUCACGGGAGACACACGGCGGGUGCUAACGUCCGUCGUGAAGAGGGAAACAACCCAGACCGCCAGCUAAGGUCCCAAAGUCAUGGUUAAGUGGGAAACGAUGUGGGAAGGCACAGACAGCCAGGAUGUUGGCUUAGAAGCAGCCAUCAUUUAAAGAAAGCGUAAUAGCUCACUGGUCGAGUCGGCCUGCGCGGAAGAUGUAACGGGGCUAAACCAUGCACCGAAGCUGCGGCAGCGACACUAUGUGUUGUUGGGUAGGGGAGCGUUCUGUAAGCCUGCGAAGGUGACCUGUGAGGGUUGCUGGAGGUAUCAGAAGUGCGAAUGCUGACAUAAGUAACGAUAAAGCGGGUGAAAAGCCCGCUCGCCGGAAGACCAAGGGUUCCUGUCCAACGUUAAUCGGGGCAGGGUAAGUCGACCCCUAAGGCGAGGCCGAAAGGCGUAGUCGAUGGGAAACAGGUUAAUAUUCCUGUACUUGGUGUUACUGCGAAGGGGGGACGGAGAAGGCUAUGUUAGCCGGGCGACGGUUGUCCCGGUUUAAGCAUGUAGGCUGGUUGUCCAGGCAAAUCCGGAUAAUCAAGGCUGAGGUGUGAUGACGAGGCACUACGGUGCUGAAGUAACAAAUGCCCUGCUUCCAGGAAAAGCCUCUAAGCAUCAGGUAACAUUAAAUCGUACCCCAAACCGACACAGGUGGUCAGGUAGAGAAUACCAAGGCGCUUGAGAGAACUCGGGUGAAGGAACUAGGCAAAAUGGUGCCGUAACUUCGGGAGAAGGCACGCUGGUGUGUAGGUGAAGUCCCUGCGGAUGGAGCUGAGACCAGUCGAAGAUACCAGCUGGCUGCAACUGUUUAUUAAAAACACAGCACUGUGCAAACACGAAAGUGGACGUAUACGGUGUGACGCCUGCCCGGUGCCGGAAGGUUAAUUGAUGGGGUUAUCCGUAAGGAGAAGCUCUUGAUCGAAGCCCCGGUAAACGGCGGCCGUAACUAUAACGGUCCUAAGGUAGCGAAAUUCCUUGUCGGGUAAGUUCCGACCUGCACGAAUGGCGUAAUGAUGGCCAGGCUGUCUCCACCCGAGACUCAGUGAAAUUGAACUCGCUGUGAAGAUGCAGUGUACCCGCGGCAAGACGGAAAGACCCCGUGAACCUUUACUAUAGCUUGACACUGAACAUUGAGCCUUGAUGUGUAGGAUAGGUGGGAGGCUUUGAAGCGUGGACGCCAGUCUGCGUGGAGCCAACCUUGAAAUACCACCCUUUAAUGUUUGAUGUUCUAACGUUGGCCCCUGACCGGGGUUGCGGACAGUGUCUGGUGGGUAGUUUGACUGGGGCGGUCUCCUCCCAAAGCGUAACGGAGGAGCACGAAGGUUAGCUAAUCCUGGUCGGACAUCAGGAGGUUAGUGCAAUGGCAUAAGCUAGCUUGACUGCGAGCGUGACGGCGCGAGCAGGUGCGAAAGCAGGUCAUAGUGAUCCGGUGGUUCUGAAUGGAAGGGCCAUCGCUCAACGGAUAAAAGGUACUCCGGGGAUAACAGGCUGAUACCGCCCAAGAGUUCAUAUCGACGGCGGUGUUUGGCACCUCGAUGUCGGCUCAUCACAUCCUGGGGCUGAAGUAGGUCCCAAGGGUAUGGCUGUUCGCCAUUUAAAGUGGUACGCGAGCUGGGUUUAGAACGUCGUGAGACAGUUCGGUCCCUAUCUGCCGUGGGCGCUGGAGAAUUGAGGGGGGCUGCUCCUAGUACGAGAGGACCGGAGUGGACGCAUCACUGGUGUUCGGGUUGUCAUGCCAAUGGCACUGCCCGGUAGCUAAAUGCGGAAGAGAUAAGUGCUGAAAGCAUCUAAGCACGAAACUUGCCCCGAGAUGAGUUCUCCCUGAGACUUUAAGUCUCCUGAAGGAACGUUGAAGACGACGACGUUGAUAGGCCGGGUGUGUAAGCGCAGCGAUGCGUUGAGCUAACCGGUACUAAUGAACCGUGAGGCUUAACCUU
rnacentral:rRNA from 1 species